rnacentral:rRNA from 1 species
GGAAAGAUGAAAAGAACUUUGAAAAGAGAGUUAAACACGUACGUGAAAUUGUUGAAAGGGAAACGAUUGAAGUCAGUCAUACCAACGGGAAAUCAACCUUUUGAGCUUGGUCUCGUGGGUUUUGAAGAGUUUCAAAGCCUUCGGAUUCGCGGGAUUGGGAUCUCUUGGUGUACUUUUUCGUACGGUUAGUCAACAUCGGUUUUGAAUGUCAUAAAAUGACUGGAGGAAUGUAGCUUCGAUCUCGUAUUGAAGUGUUAUAGCCUUUGGUAGAUGUGAUGUUUGAGACCGAGGAUUGCAACGGAUACCCUUCAGGGCUAUUCGUCUGAUCUCUGAUACGUUGCCUUGAUGUUGAAAGCUUGCUUAUGAUGUUAGGGUAUUACGGUCAAAAGGUUAGAACGAAUUACAUUCGUUAAGGAUGUUGACGUAAUGACUUUAAACGACCCGUCUUGAAACACGGACCA